GGUUUUGUAGUGUAGCGGUUAUCACUCCAGAUUCUGAUCAGUUCUCAGUGUUCUGGUAACCCCGGUUCGAUUCCGGGCAAGACCU